UACAGAGGGGGGCAAGCGUUGUUCGGAAUUACUGGGCGUAAAGGGCGCGUAGGCGGCCUGUUAAGUCGGACGUGAAAUCCCUCGGCUCAACCGGGGAACUGCGUCCGAUACUGGCGGGCUUGAAUUCGGGAGAGGGAUGUGGAAUUCCAGGUGUAGCGGUGAAAUGCGUAGAUAUCUGGAGGAACACCGGUGGCGAAGGCGGCAUCCUGGACCACGACUGACGCUGAGUGAGCGAAAGCCAGGGGAGCAAACGGG
rnacentral:rRNA from 1 species